GGAAAGGGGAUUAUCGCCUAAAUGGUUUUUAUCCUCUUGUGAGAGAAACGGUCCGUUAAAGUAUCCAGGGCUGGUUAUUACACAUUAUUCCAGUCUCUCUCUCUCUCUGUAUCCAGGGCUGGUUAUUACACAUUAUUCCAGUCUCUCUCUCUCUCUCUCUCUGUAUCCAGGGCUGGUUAUUACAUUAUUCAGUCUCUCUCUCUGUAUCAGGGCUGGAUUUGUACACAUUAUUCAGUCUCUCUCUCUCUCCUCUCUCUCUGUAUCAGGGCUGGAUUUAUUACACAUUAUUCCAGUCUCUCUCUCUCUCUCUGUAUCAGGGCUGGUUCAUUACACAUUAUUCCGGUCUGCAGUCUCUGUAGCUGGGGUACGGUUGUGCACGUGUUCGGUCUCUCUCUCUCUGUAUCAGGUUUGGUUGUACGCAUUAUUCGGUCUCUCUCUGUAUCAGGGCUGGUUAUUUACACAUUAUUCAGUCUCUCUCUCUCUGUAUGGGGCUGGUUAUUACACAUUAUUCCAGUCUCUCUCUCUCUGUAGCCAGGGCUGGUUAUUACACAUUAUUCCAGUCUCUCUCUCUCUCUGUAUCCAGGGCUGGUUAUUACACAUUAUUCCAGUCUCUCUCUCUCUCUGUAUCCAGGGCUGGUUAUUACACAUUAUUCCAGUCUCUCUCUCUCUCUGUAUCCAGGGCUGGUUAUUACACAUUAUUCCAGUCUCUCUCUCACUCUGUAUCCAGGGCUGGUUAUUACACAUUAUUCCAGUCUCUCUCUCACUCUGUAUCCAGGGCUGGUUAUUACACAUUAUUCCAGUCUCUCUCUCUCUCUGUAGCCAGGGCUGGUUAUUACACAUUAUUCCAGUCUCUCUCUCACUCUGUAUCCAGGGCUGGUUAUUACACAUUAUUCCAGUCUCUCUCUCUCUCUGUAUCCAGGGCUGGUUAUUACACAUUAUUCCAGUCUCUCUCUCUCUGUAGCCAGGGCUGGUUAUUACACAUUAUUCCAGUCUCUCUCUCUGUAUCCAGGGCUGGUUAUUACACAUUAUUCCAGUCUCUCUCUCUCUCUGUAUCCAGGGCUGGUUAUUACACAUUAUUCCAGUCUCUCUCUCUCUCUGUAUCCAGGGCUGGUUAUUACACAUUAUUCCAGUCUCUCUCUCUCUCUCUGUAUCCAGGGCUGGUUAUUACACAUUAUUCCAGUCUCUCUCUCUCUCUCUGUAUCCAGGGCUGGUUAUUACACAUUAUUCCAGUCUCUCUCUCUCUCUGUAUCCAGGGCUGGUUAUUACACAUUAUUCCAGUCUCUCUCUCACUCUCUGUAUAGCAGGUCUCUGUAUUCUCUCUCAUACCUGGCAGCCAUCGAAUGAGAUCCUCCCCCCAGC